UACGUAGGGGGCAAGCGUUAUCCGGAUUUACUGGGUGUAAAGGGGGCGCAGACGGCGAUGCAAGCCAGGAGUGAAAGCCCGGGGCCCAACCCCGGGACUGCUCUUGGAACUGCGUGGCUGGAGUGCAGGAGGGGCAGGCGGAACUCCUGGUGUAGCGGUGAAAUGCGUAGAUAUCAGGAGGAACACCGGUGGCGAAGGCGGCCUGCUGGACUGCAACUGACGUUGAGGCCCGAAAGCGUGGGGAGCAAACAGG
rnacentral:rRNA from 1 species